AUAGUACUUCCUCCGUUCAACAAAAGAUGUCUCAACUUUGACUAAAUUUGAAUGCAUCUAUAUACUAAGUCAUGUUUAAAUACAUCCAAUUUUUGACAAACUUGAGACAUUUUUUGUUGGACGGAGGGAGUAGUAA
rnacentral:pre_miRNA from 1 species